rnacentral:rRNA from 1 species
CAAUAGCGUAUAUUAAAGUUGUUGCAGUUAAAAAGCUCGUAGUUGGAUUUGUGGUUUGUGGUGGGUUCCGGGCACUUGUUGUCUGAGUAACUUGCCGCUGCCAUCCUUGGGUGGAACCUGUGUGGCAUUAGGUUGUCGUGCAGGGGAUGCCCAUCGUUUACUGUGAAAAAAUUAGAGUGUUCAAAGCAGGCUUAUGCCGUUGAAUAUAUUAGCAUGGAAUAAUGAGAUAGGACUUUUUCGCUAUUUUGUUGGUUUGCGCGAGAAGGUAAUGAUUAAUAGGGACAGUUGGGGGUAUUCGUAUUCCAUUGUCAGAGGUGAAAUUUCUUGGAUUUUUGGAAGACGAACUACUGCGAAAGCAUUUACCAAGGAUGUUUUCAUUAA